rnacentral:rRNA from 1 species
UACGAGGGGGGCGAGCGUUGUUCGGAAUUAUUGGGCGUAAAGAGCGUGUAGGCGGCCAGGUAGGUCCGCUGUGAAAACUCGAGGCUCAACCUCGAGAUGUCGGCGGAAACCAUCUGGCUAGAGUCCGGAAGAGGAGAGUGGAAUUCCUGGUGUAGCGGUGAAAUGCGCAGAUAUCAGGAAGAACACCCGUGGCGAAGGCGGCUCUCUGGGACGGUACUGACGCUGAGACGCGAAAGCGUGGGGAGCGAACAGG